UACGGAGGGGGCAAGCGUUGUCCGGAAUUAUUGGGCGUAAAGAGCUCGUAGGCGGUCUGUUGCGUCCGCUGUGAAAACUCGGGGCUUAACCCCGAGCCUGCAGUGGAUACGGGCAGACUAGAGGUAGGUAGGGGAGAAUGGAAUUCCCGGUGUAGCGGUGAAAUGCGCAGAUAUCGGGAGGAACACCGGUGGCGAAGGCGGUUCUCUGGGCCUUACCUGACGCUGAGGAGCGAAAGCGUGGGGAGCGAACAGG
rnacentral:rRNA from 1 species